GAGGGUAUAGCUCAGUGGUAGAGCACAUGCUUAGCAUGCACAAGGUCCUGGGCUCAAUUCCCAGUACCUCCA
rnacentral:tRNA from 1 species